rnacentral:rRNA from 1 species
UAAUACAGAGGGGGCAAGCGUUGUUCGGAAUUACUGGGCGUAAAGGGCGCGUAGGCGGCCCGCUAAGUCGAACGUGAAAUCCCCGAGCUCAACUCGGGAACUGCGUCCGAUACUGGCGGGCUUGAAUCCGGGAGAGGGAUGCGGAAUUCCAGGUGUAGCGGUGAAAUGCGUAGAUAUCUGGAGGAACACCGGUGGCGAAGGCGGCAUCCUGGACCGGCAUUGACGCUGAGGCGCGAAAGCUAGGGGAGCAAACGGGA